GGGGGAAGUGAGGGGCGUCCAGGCAGGAUUGGAAAGAGGAGAGGGAGGCAGAGCCCCGCGGACCAGAGAGAGGAAGGGAACGCCAGAGCAGUCCCUGGCAACAGAGGGAUCUGGCAGGAAAGACCUGGAAAAUAAGGGGCAGGGGGGCGGAGGGGGAGAUUCCUCAGGAGAUGGGAAAUGGGGGGCCCAUUCAGACAGCGGAAAAAACGAGAAGGGAGAGUGUUAACUAGGGACGAAGAUGGGAAUGCGAUGGCUAUUUGCUUGGAUUCUGAGCUAAAAAUAUGAAAGGGAGGGGAGAGGACAGGCUAGAAUGUGAGUUUCCUCCAGUUAAAAGUGAAAGUGUUUUGCCAUCAGUGACAGUUGAAGGAGAGCGGGGUGGGAGGUGGUGUUUUCAACCCCCUUUCUCCCUCUCUCCCGUCCUCCCUCGGUCUCUCCUCUUUCUUUCUGCACUUUGUCCAAUGAAAGAAGGCGAGUUCGGGAGGUGAAAGUUCAGCAGAAGGACAAACCCCUGUUUGCAAGGAAACAGAAACCCCGCCAGCCAGCGAGGGGUUUUCUCCCCUGUUUCUCGGAAUCAGGAGAGUGUGAAUGUGGGACGAGCUUCUGCCCCCUUGUCAGAGCCACUGCAGGAAUGUGCAAUCGAGUCCACUUUGGGGGAAGGUGGCUGCAUCAGGAACUGUGUUCUUGCCACGACUCCUCUUAGGAAAACGCCUGGGGGCUAGCAUGUCAGUCCGUUGUUUAACACAAAUUACCUGCUCUCCCAGUGAUCAGUCACGUGCAAAAAGCUUUGUCCAAUUCUUUGAAAAGAUUAAGCAGUGUGUUUAUUAAAAAUUAUUAUCAUCGCAAUACUAAAAAGAUCUUUAGAUUGCUGCUAAUCUGAUUCUGCAUUUUAACUGCCUUAAAUUCUACAUUCACUUGCAAGUGGGGGCCACAGUCAGGUUGGCAACAAGUUUUGCAGACAAAAGGAAAUCCUGGUUGUAAAUCCCAUGAUAUAUUGUACUCAAUUUUGUAUGAUACUGUCUAAUGUGCUGUGCUGCCUUAUUAAAGAACUCGAUGUCCAUUUGGUUUACAUUAGAGGGAAACUUAACUGCAGCUUAACAUAUUGUUCAUUUUCAACACUGUCACGUUACAUUCGUGGGGGGCAGAUUUUAAUUUCUUUAUCAGUAAUCAACUGGAAGUUUCUUUUUGUUAAAUUAAAGCAAGAAAGGUUUUAAAAUAAAGGGCAUGGGGGUAGGACGCCACCUUUUGGUGAUAAAACAAAUAGAAAUCCCUUCUGAAAACAGAUGUUCCUGACAUAAUUUUAUUUUUAAUUACACCAAGGCAAAGGUGCUUGUCCCCAUUUCGUUAUAUUUUAAGUAACAGGAGAAAAAAAAAACCAAUGUAAAUGCAAAAUUAGCAAAUUAUAGUUAACUGCAGCCAAAAUUUUCCCAAACGUAUCAGAAUAUGUUAGUCCCCUGUCACAUUACUGUUGAUUGUAUACACCAAACAUGAGCUUCAUUCACCAAAUACCAUGUCACUAAAUAUAUGUACAUUUGGGGAACAGAAACUGGAGUGGACAUUUACCACCUGACGACGUACCUGAAUGCUCUUGUAAGUUUUGAGUUGAACAAAAACUAAAACCACUUAAUUUAGUGUUUCUUUAACCACAGUUACUGGUGUCCUGAUUUUUGCCAUAUCUAUAUGACAUAACAGUUCCCGAAUAAUUAAUAUACCAUACUCAUUGGAGGCCACUUAUUAUGGUAAUUGUAGCAAACAUUUUCAUUUAAAUCAACCUUCUUUUAAUUUUUUUCUAUUACUGCCUUAAAUGGGAAAUCAGUAUCACCCACCAUAAAUUAAAAACAAGCACAGUAAAAACAAAGUCACUGAUUUCUCUUUGAGGGUCAAAACAAAAAUUAAAAAUGAUUUUUGAAAAAAGGAGGGAGAGUGGCAAAUGUUGAGAAGGGUUAAGGACAAGAGUAUCAAUGGAAAUUUUUGAAUUUUUGUUUUUUCUCUCUCUUUUUUUCUGUUUUUUUUUUUUUUUUUUUUUUAACAACCAGAAGGAUUUAAAGUGAUCGGAAAGGAAUACAGUUCUCAAUGUGUGAUUCAGUGUUAUGCCAUCCUAGUGCCAAGGUUCCUACACUUUAAAAAACAUGGGCAUAACUAAGAAUAUCGCAUUACAGAUGAGGAAUCUAAGGCCCAGGGAUUUCAUUUGCCCUCCAAGGCAAAAUAAAUUUGGUUACUGGUUGGACAAGGAUUAGAAUCCAGGUGUCCUGACUUUGUGGGUUUCCAUCUCACUCUUUCCACUAAAGUGACCAAUCCUCAGACUUAAGUGGUUUGUCUAGCUUCUCAGAAACAGCUAACCUACAGACCCCUUUACAGAUCUGGGAGAAACUGAGGCCACAGAGGGUCAAGAACAAGUUCAACCCCCUGCUCACCGUCCUUUCUCUCCACCCUCUCUCCAUAGAUGUGACAGACAUCCAGGUGGGGGUCAACACAGCAAAGAAAGAAGGGAGGGUUGAGAAGAGAAAAGUGGAUUCAGAGAGGGGAGGUUAGUAAGCGUGGGCAGACCAUUCUCUAAAUGAAAGCUUAAACUCAGUUGCCUUCCAAGAAGAUAAAAAUGGCUAAUGAAAAUCAUGUGCUUCACAGUAAGUGGUAAGAGGAGCCCAUCCUCUGUGUCCUCAUGUCCCUAUAUGUCCACACCGGAAAUCAGCAGGGGAUCUCUUGUUUUAAAGUAUACAAUAUUAACAGGCACACUCUGAGACAAAACCACAUUUGAUAAUUUGAGUGGGUGGAAAAGCUAGUCAGGGAACGGGGAAUGACCCUAGCUUAAAAAGUGUUUUCCCCCACAACAAAACUUAAGAGGCUCAGAGUUAAAUCUAGAAACAAUAGUGCUUUUUCUGUUUUUCUAACUGGAGAGUGAGACCUUAGUUACCAAGACUGCACUUGCUGCUUUUUUUUAAAGUAUGCAGUUAUAUAAACAUAAAUAAAUAUGGCCUGCAAAUAUUUUUAUGUUUUUCUAAAUUGGUGAUUGUGAAAAGAGGUUGUGCAUGACUGUACUGUAUGAACAUGGGUCUCAGUGGACUGUAAUCCUCAUAAACUACAAGGUACGGUGAAGCAUUUGGCCAAGUAUCAUCAAUCCAAAAAGCUGUUCUAAUGCCCUGAGCAUUCCCAGUGCAACGUUGGUACCUUGGAAACAUGUAAAAGGAGUAUGGGUGGCUCAACCCCAUCUGCUACAGGUACUAGAACAAUCUACAGCCUUACUAUGCAAAAUGAGAUGUGCUGACCUGCAGAGCACCACCUCCAGGUUAUGUCAAAAAUGCAGAAUGUCAGGCCCUACCUCAGACCUAGUGAAUCAAAUAUCUGUAUUUUAAAAAAAUCACCCAGCCAAGUCUCACACACAUUCAAGUUGGACAAAGGUGAUCUAUAGUACAUGUGGCCCCUUAUACAACAGGCUGCAUCUCAAUAUCUUGAUAGCCUUAAACUAUUUCACAGGUAGUCCUGUAAGUCUGCCAUACAUGAUUCUCCAAACUGGCAUCUUUUAUAAACUUUGUUGGUUCCUUAUUUUUCAACCAUUUGCAAAGUUAAGUCACUCAAUCACCUAUGCAAACCAUAAUUAAUUCCUUUGACAUUAAUAGUCCGGUGACUUCUCUCUCCUGUUACCCCAAAGAGACUGCUAAUUGCCCUCCAAUUGUUUACCUUUGUAUUGUUUUAUGAGAGCUCAGAGAAAGAUGGAAGAUACUCUCCACCAGGCCAGAAACAAAUGCCAGACAGGUUUUGAAAAGGCUGAACACAUGCUAUGACUACACCUUGUUAGUAGAAGGGCUUUGCUUUCUUUGUUUUGUUUUCUUUUUUUAUGGAAGGGAUGACGCCUCCAUAAUUAUAGGUGCUGCUGUUUAAAACCCAGAGUGUUUUCCAAACCACUGAGGGGCCACACCUCCAGCAGCCCAUGAGCCAUCCUGGCUGGAUUAUCUUUCCAGUUCUCUAAACAGUUCAUCAAGCAGUACUAGAUUUACAUUAAGCAUAACGAGAGUAAGGGACCCCAUCCAAGUAUGGUUUCUUUCUGAAUAAACAUGAAGGACUCACAGGUAAACCUCACAGCUGAAGGUUAAUUUGUAUCUGUGAAGUUCUCAGAAAGACUGUAGUAAAGGCCCCUCACCCACCUAACAAGACAGCAGGUUACUUUUGUAACACCCCCCCAA
rnacentral:lncRNA from 10 species